CUUGUCCUUCUAUAUUUCAGGUGAAAGGCCUUCAGACUCCUGCAGCAGCAGUUGAGAAUGAGACCAGCCCUGUUCCUAUGACGUUAAAUGAUGGACCAAUCCCAGAUGAGCCCUGCACACAGGUGAAAGGCCUUCAGACUCCUGCAGCAGCAGUUGAGAAUGAGACCAGCCCUGUUCCUAUGACGUUAAAUGAUGGACCAAUCCCAGAUGAGCCCUGCACACAGGAAAGCAAACUGCUGUGAGGAGAAGCUGGACCCCAGACGAGUGUGCUGCAGUGAACACACAUUUGAAGAGAUUUAUCAGAAGAGGUCAAGUUCCUGGUAAAGAAGAGUGUCAGCGCUGUAUUGAUGCAGAACCUCAAGCUCUCAGAAACAGGGACUGGAAAGCAGUUAAAUACUACAUUAAAAAUCACAUUACAGCCCUGAGAAGAAAGGUGUAGUGUGACAGCACCUAAUGGAACUGAGGUAAAACCGAAGCAUUUGAGGUAGGAUCUUAAAAUGUUUAAUCCUUUAUGUGUUCUGUUGUAGAGGUUUGCUCAGGAUUUGUUACUGUCCCGUGGCCUACAAAUAUACACAUUUCACAAUUCUUAUUUUAUCUUAUUUUUAAUUUAUUUUUAUUACGGGCGCAGGAAAUGUUAUUUCAAAGGAUUUUUUAUUUGUUUAAAUAUCUCUGUAUGAUGCCUUUUAAAUUUGAGUUUUCACUGGAAAAAAAAAAAAAAACUUAACAUGACACUAAGGAUGCAGUCCUAAAAAGCAUGUAAUUUCAGUGUUUGUACAACAAAAACUGUUUGGUUUAGAUAUAAGUUCAGGCUGAGGCUGUUGUUGCCGCAUAGCGGCACCGAAAACCCUACUGCAUAUUUUUGGAUUAAUCUGUUUGGAAAGGGACUCAGUUUGACAACUGUGGCAUAAACUGUUAAUGCCAACAAUAAAAGUGGUCUUUUCAUUUUUGUCAGAAAA